UUGUCUCUGCAGGGAGAAACAGGAACAACCACAACCUCAUCUGACCCGUUCACUUUCAUUUCACUCCCUCCCUCCUUUAUCCCCCCGAUCUUAUUCUUCUCCUCUUCAAACUUUCGAGAAACUCCUCUCGUUUCUCGGCCACCACCUCAAGCAUUCACCCUCCUCCCCCUCCUCUUCCCCUCCAUCACCCUGACUCCUUUGUCCCCUCGCCUCCCACUCUGGAACGUUGAUUACAUUACACCUUCUGUAAAGCUACAUCUGGAGUCAACGCAUCAGCCAGAAUCUGUAGAAAUGGAGCUGGUACAAAAAAAAAGAAAAUGGUAUUCAAAACUGUUUUUACUUGUAAGGAAGGAGGGAAGGAAGAGAGAAGGAAAGGAAGGAAGAUUUCUACGACAGAAAACAAAAAGUUUAUAAAACAAAUCAACUAUUUCCAGGGAUUCCAAGAAAACAUACCCUCAUUUUCGCAGGAUAACAAGCUCUUUUUGUCAGGAAAACUACACCACAGAAGAAGCCAUAACCAAUAAAAAUGUGCAAAAACACAAAUUAUUCGAAUGCUAGUCUUAGAUUGAUUAGCCUUACUUUCCAAAAGCAAAAUUUGGCAUCUAUAAAGGCCACCCAACAUGGAGAGGGAUCAUUCCAAGGAGUUUUAGUUAAAAUGUAAGAGCCCCAGGGAUGGAUAAAAAAAACGAGACAAAAAGGGCGAAAAGUUCAUUUGACACCAGAAAAAAAUAUAUAUAUAUUUUUUCAACAUUGUUUAAGUCAGCUUUCCUAAGUAUUUUGAGAGUUAAAGCAGAAUUUUUGUGUGUGUAAGAUCCCUAGAACUUUGUCAAAAUAACCCUGUCUUUGAGGGAAAAUCAUGAAAUUGUUAAAAACUUAAAUAUUUUUGAAAAAGAUUAACAUAAAAACAUGUUGGUAAAUAUAUUCAAAUUGAUACAAUACAAUGCAGCACUAUAAUGAUGUGUUAUUAGAUAAGAUAAUAUGGUACAAUAUGAUAUGUUAUAAUACCAUAUGAUUUGAUAGGAUACGAUAAGACAUGAUAUAACUUGAUCAAUAAGAUAAAAUAUGAUGCGUUAAGAUUCUGUACUUUUUUGUCUUAGACCUCAUUAGUGUGAAUAUGUGUCAGAUGAACACCCAAAAAGAUUUGAAAAAUAGAGCAGAGGACACAAGGAAUGACCAUGAUGAGUAUUGAAAAAGCACAAAGGAUUUAUCAGAUUUAAGAUUUUAGAUUGUCAGAGAAUCCCCCCAACUCAAUUGCAUCUCUCCAAGUUGGUAAUAGUCUUUUUCACCCAUACUAUUUGAUACAUUUUUCAUUUUUAACAACAUGAAACGUUCAAAGAACUCUGCAGAGUUUAUGAAUGUGUAUCUGUUCAAUAGUUUAACAUUGAUAAGUUUAAAGUUUCAGGGCAGAAAGUCUGAGUUUAGAAAAGUUCCUGCUGUGUUUGAAAAGCUCUUUCCCCUCAUGUGCCCCUUUUGCCAUUAUUAUUCCCCACUAAGCCUACCUCCAAUCAGUGCCUGACAGAACGUAACCGUGGAGAUGGAGUUUGUGGCGUGCAUGGAGAUGGAGAGGACUCCAUCGCCACAGUAACGGCAGUAGAGCUCCCAAACCUCCGAAUCCAUCUCUGAGGUCACUGUUCGCCGCUCUCAUCUCACCAGUGUGUGUGUGUGUAUGUGUGUGUGUCUUUGCACGGUUGUUACCACAAUCCCACUGAGGUUUUAGAUUUGACUAUAUUUCAGCUUGUUUGAAGUCCUCAGUGAAACCUUUUCAACCAAACCUCAUUCAAAAUUCACUUUUAUGUAUGCUCACGUGACUCAAUGAGGGUGCACUUUUGAGGGUUUUUUCUCCACUUUUUAAAGUCUGUGCUGUAAGAUUUUGCUGAUUUUCACGUUACAACAACACAAAAACAGUAAGUUAUCUGAAUUUUAAGAUGACAAGUGGACAGAAAUUAGGACAAAAGAGUAGACUAUAGAAACCUAACUUUGAGCUGGUUGGUUAGUCGGUAUGUUGUCCAUCUCACUAAACGUCUGUCUGUGUGUCGGUCACACUGACCCACAUGUUCAGGUCUACAUACAUUGCUGCUUUUGUUCCACUUGGCCGGCUGUCUGGCUGACUGUUGGCUGACUGCUGGAGCCCCACAACCGGUUAAUCUAAGGAUUACUGUCAGGACAGUACAGCCAUCCAACGGCCCUCUCCUGGGGAGCAGGAAUCUGUGUGUGUGUGUGUAUGUGUGUGUGUGUGUGUGUGUGUGUGUGUGUGUGUGUGUGUGUGUGUGUGUGUGUGUGUGUGUCUGUGUGUGUGUGUGUGUGUGUGUGUGUGUGUACCAUUACCCCUCAAGCAUCCAGUUUGUCUAAUCCUUUCCAACAUCCUCCAGUUUGAAGACACAGUCCCUCUCAGCAGUUGUAUAAUCAACACUUGACUUUGUUUAAUUGUUUCAGUUUGUCUUAAGCUGUUUCCUGCUGGUAUCAGGAGGCAUCAAAUGAUCCGACCAACUUCUUAUAAGUUGGAUCGUCAUGCCUAAAAGUUGCAGUUGAAGUUAAUUCCCUUUAAGCUUGAAACCAGGUAUUUCCCACUUUGCUAAUUAGGAUCUCUCAUCAGACUUUUCUGAUAAGAUGGAGGCUCGUCACUCAACGUUUUUUGCUGUGCAAGACUUAGAGGACAUCAGUUCAGAUCAUUUAAAACCAGUUAACAGCAAUUCAGAGGGAGGCGUGUUGGCAGCAAUUGCUUUUCCAUUUGAGGGUCAGGGGUGGCACAGCCCUCCCUUGAAAUCUGAUUGGACAGCCUAAGUUGGAGCACCUGUCUGCAGACACAGCAUGGCCCUAAAAGCAUGGGUUUAGUUGAAAGUUGGGCCUCUGCUUGGUUUUCAGCUGUUUUCAGGAAAUUAAGCGAUCUCACGAGCGAAAGUUGAUCUUCUUCGUCAUUCCCACAAAUUUUCGAGACUUUCAGGUUGUAAUAUCCUGUAGAUUCUUGAGUUGAUAUGAUGAGUGAUAUGAUGAGGGCAGUGACAAGAAUAUGAACAAAUGACUGAAAGUCUGAUAGCCUCUUGCUAAUGUGUUUGUUGAUUGUUUAGGUACAUAAAGUCAUAGAAGUGGCCCAAUAGUAAUGAACUAAAAGGAGAUCUCUGCAGUGGCGUAGACGGACACAUUUCUGUCUGUAAAUCGACUCACCUGGUGCUGGGACAAAUACAGCAAUCCAGAUAAACCGCC
rnacentral:lncRNA from 1 species